rnacentral:rRNA from 1 species
UGGGGAAUUUUGGACAAUGGGCGCAAGCCUGAUCCAGCCAUUCCGCGUGCAGGACGAAGGCCUUCGGGUUGUAAACUGCUUUUGUACGGAACGAAAAGCCCUUCUCUAAUACAGAGGGGUCAUGACGGUACCGUAAGAAUAAGCACCGGCUAACUACGUGCCAGCAGCCGCGGUAAUACGUAGGGUGCAAGCGUUAAUCGGAAUUACUGGGCGUAAAGCGUGCGCAGGCGGUGAUGUAAGACAGAUGUGAAAUCCCCGGGCUCAACCUGGGAACUGCGUUUGUGACUGCAUCACUCGAGUACGGCAGAGGGAGGUGGAAUUCCGCGUGUAGCAGUGAAAUGCGUAGAUAUGCGGAGGAACACCGAUGGCGAAGGCAAUCCCCUAGGCCUGCACUGACGCUCAUGCACGAAAGCGCGGGGAGCAAACA